rnacentral:rRNA from 1 species
UACGGGGGGGGCAAGCGUUGUUCGGAAUUACUGGGCGUAAAGGGCUCGUAGGUGGCCAACUAAGUCAGACGUGAAAUCCCUCGGCUUAACCGGGGAACUGCGUCUGAUACUGGAUGGCUUGAGUUCGGGAGAGGGAUGCGGAAUUCCAGGUGUAGCGGUGAAAUGCGUAGAUAUCUGGAGGAACACCGGUGGCGAAGGCGGCAACCUGGACCGACACUGACACUGAGGAGCGAAAGCCAGGGGAGCAAACGGG